CCAUCUCGUUGGCCUGGGUUCAGUUGGUGGUAUGGAGGGGUGCUGCCUAGCACUGACCUGGGAGUGUGUGUGACCUACUGACCCAAUGGACAUCAAAGGCCAGUUCUGGAAUGAUGAUGAUUCAGAAGGAGAUAAUGAAUCAGAGGAAUUUCUCUAUGGAGUUCAGGGGAGCUGUGCAGCUGACCUGUAUCGACACCCACAGCUUGAUGCAGACAUUGAAGCUGUGAAGGAGAUCUACAGUGAGAACUCUGUA